CAGGAGCAGCAGCAACAGCAGCAGCAUUAAGAUAAUCCCACACUGACUGGACAUGCUCACAAAUUGCCUACUGCCAGCUGCAUUCAGGGCUAUGGGAUCCGACAGAAGAAAAGCCUCUUGGGCUGCUACAAUUACAGAAACUAAUUAGACAUUUACACACAAGCCGCCCCAUUAUGAUACCAAAUCUGACAGCAGGACACCAUGGAGCAAAAAGAUAAAAUAAAAAUGAUUUCACAUUGAU